rnacentral:tRNA from 1 species
UAGAGUUUAGUAUAUUUUUGCUUACAACAAAAAUUUUUUAUUACUCUUU